AAAUGAAUUGACGGGGGCCCGCACAAGCGGUGGAGCAUGUGGCUUAAUUCGAGGCAACGCGAAGAACCUUACCUGGGCUUGAAAUAUAGUGGACAGUCUGUGAAAGCAGAUCUCUCUUCGGAGUCAUUAUACAGGUGCUGCAUGGCUGUCGUCAGCUCGUGCCGUGAGGUGUUCGGUUAAGUCCGACAACGAGCGCAACCCGUAUCAUCAGUUGCCAGCAAGUAAAGUUGGGGACUCUGGUGAGACUGCCUGUGUAAGCAGGAGGAAGGCGCGGAUGACGUCAAGUCAGUAUGGCCCUUACGCCCAGGGCUGCACACGUGCUACAAUGGGGGGUACAAUGAGAAGCAAUACCGCGAGGUGGAGCAAAUCUACAAAACCUCUCUUAGUUCGGAUUGUAGUCUGCAACUCGACUACAUGAAGUUGGAAUCGCUAGUAAAGGCGUAUCAGCUACGACGCCUUGAAUACGUUCCCGGGCCUUGUACACACCGCCCGU
rnacentral:rRNA from 1 species